UACGGAGGAUCCAAGCGUUAUCCGGAAUCAUUGGGUUUAAAGGGUCCGUAGGCGGCCCGGUAAGUCAGUGGUGAAAUCUCCCCGCUCAACGGGGAAACGGCCAUUGAUACUGCCGGGCUUGAAUUACCAGGAAGUAACUAGAAUAUGUAGUGUAGCGGUGAAAUGCUUAGAGAUUACAUGGAAUACCAAUUGCGAAGGCAGGUUACUACUGGUAUAUUGACGCUGAUGGACGAAAGCGUGGGUAGCGAACAGG
rnacentral:rRNA from 1 species